GGCGACAUAGCUCAGUGGGGAAGAGUCGUUGUCUGGCAGUCAGAGGGUUGCCGGUUCGAUCCCUGCCCUGGGCG
rnacentral:tRNA from 1 species